rnacentral:rRNA from 1 species
GACGAACCGUGCGAACGUUGUUCGGAAUCACUGGGCUUAAAGGGCGCGUAGGCGGGUUCGCAAGUCUGUGGUGAAAGCCUCCAGCUUAACUGGAGAAGUGCCAUGGAUACUGCGCAUCUUGAGGAGGGUAGGGGCGUCUGGAACGGUCGGUGGAGCGGUGAAAUGCGUUGAGAUGUGGAGGAACACCGAUGGCGAAGGCAGCCCCCUGGGCUAACACUGACGCUCAUGCACGAAAGCGUGGGGAGCAAACAGG